AAGACCUUGCACUUUUGGAGCGGCCGAUGUCUGAUUAGCUAGUUGGUGGGGUAAUGGCCUACCAAAGCUUCGAUCAGUAGCUGGUCUGAGAGGACGGCCAGCCACACUGGGACUGAGACACGGCCCAGACUCCUACGGGAGGCAGCAGUGGGGAAUUUUGGACAAUGGGCGCAAGCCUGAUCCAGCCAUGCCGCGUGAGUGAAGAAGGCCUUCGGGUUGUAAAGCUCUUUCAGCCGAGAAGAAAAGGUUGCGGCUAAUAAUCGCAAUCCAUGACGGUACCGAAAGAAGAAACACCGGCUAACUACGUGCCAGCAGCCGCGGUAAUACGUAGGGUGCGAGCGUUAAUCGGAAUUACUGGGCGUAAAGGGUGCGCAGGCGGUUUUGUAAGUCAGAUGUGAAAUCCCCGGGCUUAACCUGGGAACU
rnacentral:rRNA from 1 species